GAUGAACGCUAGCUACAGGCUUAACACAUGCAAGUCGCGGGGCAGCAUGGGGGUUGCUUGCCACUCCCGAUGGCGACCGGCGCACGGGUGAGUAACGCGUAUCCAACCUGCCCUUCACCACGGGAUAACCCGGCGAAAGUCGGACUACUACCGUAUGUUGUCCAUUGACGGCAUCCGAUUUGGACGCAAGGCUUUGCGGUGAAGGAUGGGGAUGCGUCCGGUUGGCCAGACGGCGGCGUAACGGCCCACCGUGGCUACGAUCGGUAGGGGUUCUGAGAGGAAGGUCCCCCACAAUGGAACCGAGACACGGUCCAGAAUCGUACGGGAGGCAGCAGUGAGGAAUAUUGGGCAAUGGGCGUAAGCCUGAACCAGCCAAGUAGCGUGCAGGAGGACGGCCAUAUGGGUUGUAAACUGCUUUUAUGCGGGGAUAAAGUGGCCCACGUGUGGGCUUUUGCAGGUACCGAAUGAAUAAGGACCGGCUAAUUCCGUG
rnacentral:rRNA from 1 species